GUUUACACUCAUCGGGGAAGGGUGAGAACCUUCGACUAAGGUUCGAUUCGAGCGAAAGCGAGAGAACGUUGCCACAGGCAACGGCCCGAAGGGUGAGGAGCGAAGCGACGAAUAAUCCUUCCCCCACCACCA
rnacentral:sRNA from 1 species